rnacentral:pre_miRNA from 1 species
ACUGGGAUAACUGGGUCAAAUUGUGGUUUCCAUUCCACAUUUUUGGAGGAAUCUCCAUACUGCUUUCAGAGUGGUUGCACAAUUUGCAGUCCCACCAGAAAU